UUAAUCUUUCUAUAAAUUCUGGUUUAGACCUAGCCCUACAAGACCAUGUUUUUCCUAGAUAUUUUCACAUUAGUCUUAAUCAUAUAACCUUUGGAAGAGUCCUUCUUUCUUUAUCUAUUAGUAAAGGAAGGUAUGUCUUCAUUCGUGGACAUCCUUCUUGUACUAGUCUUCAUACAAAAAUCUUAGAGAUAGAGAAGGAAUCAUCUCCC
rnacentral:lncRNA from 1 species